UUGAAGAAGCUAAGGGAGGCGGUGGCGCCGCUGCGGCGCUGUCAUGGAGCUAGCGCAUGAAGCGCGGGAACUGGGUUGCUGGGCGGUCGAAGAGAUGGGGGUACCCGUAGCGGCCCGGGCCCCGGAAUCGACGCUACGCAGGCUGUGUCUGGGCCAAGGGGCUGACAUCUGGGCCUACAUCUUGCAGCAUGUGCACAGUCAGAGGUAAGCUGGGCUAGAGCAGGGGAGGGAGCACAGGUGAGGCCCAUAGUAACUCCUCUUUCUGCCUCUGCACUGUAGGACUGUGAAGAAGAUCCGGGGAAACCUACUCUGGUAACUGCUUCUUAAAGCUAUCCCCUCCUAUCUUCCCCACUCCCAUUUAGCCCUGUCCCCACCACAGCAUCACACCUGUUGCCCUUCCCCCUGGAAGCCCCACUCAUCCACUGACUCUGGCCUUGUUUUCCUAGGUAUGGCCACCAGGACAGUCCACAGGUGAGAAGCAUAUGCUACAAGAUUCUCUUUCAUCCAAAAAAUGACUUGUAGAUCUUCUGCUCUAAGCCCAACCAGGUGCUGG
rnacentral:sRNA from 1 species